rnacentral:rRNA from 1 species
GACGAACGCUGGCGGCGUGCUUAACACAUGCAAGUCGAACGAAGUGGCGUACGGGUGAGUAAUGUGUAAUCAACCUGCCCUUCAGAGGGGGACAAUAGUUGGAAACGACUGCUAAUACCGCAUACUGAAGGAGGGGAUUGCGUCUGAUUAGCUAGGUGGAGGGGUAACGGCCCACCAAGGCGAUGAUCAGUAGCCGGUCUGUGAGGUUGUACGGCCACAUUGGGACUGAUACACGGCCCAGACUCCUACGGGAGGCAGCGGUGGGGAAUCUUCCGCAAUGGACGGAAGUCUGACGGAGCAACGCCGCGUGAGUGAUGACGGCCUUCGGGUUGUAAAGCUCUGUUAAUCGGGACGCGGUACCGGAAUAGAAAGCCACGGCUAACUACGUGCCAGCAGCCGCGGUAAUUC